UUAGUUAUAAUAAUGUGGUUUAUAUAAGAAAAUCUAUACAAAAUUUAAAUAUUUGAAGAACAAAGAGUAGCAAGUAUUAGUCUAUUGGUUUCUUUGGAACUAUGUUGAUUAUUACGAAUGCUUAUUGUGAGGCCAAAUUUCAUCGCUUGAUGAAACCAAUGUCAAACAACAAGUCCAAGAGGUGGAAUUGGAGAGCUCCCAAUUGUGUAAUUGUUAGAUUAAUUUAAAUCUUUAUAUUAAAAAUUCAAUUAGUUUUAGGCCUUCAAAGCAAUGGUUACCAAUAUUAAAUUAACAUGUUAAAUGAAAUUU
rnacentral:lncRNA from 1 species